UGAACCUAUAUCCGUAUUUAA
rnacentral:piRNA from 1 species